AACGAACGCUGGCGGCGUGGAUAAGGCAUGCAAGUCGAACGGGAGUCAUCUGGGUAACUGGAUGAAAAGAGUGGCGAAAGGGGCAGUAAGGCAUGGAUAACCUACCCUGAUGAUUGGGAUAGCUGUCCGAACGGGCAGGUAAUACCGGAUGAGCUGGUGGGGCCGCAUGGUUCUGCCGGGAAAUGCGCAAGCGGUGUCGGGAGGAAGCCGUGUGAGAUUAGGUAGUUGGGGAGGUAAAGGGUCACCAAGGCGAAGAUGUCUAGCGGGUGUGGGAGCACGAGCCGCGCCAUUAGAACUGUGACACAGGCCAGAGUCCUACGGGGGGGUGAAGUGGAGGAUGUUUGGCAAUGGGAGAAAGCGUGAGCGAGGGAGGCCGCGUGAGCGAUGAAGGCCAUUAGGUUGUAAAGAUCUGUCGAGGGGGAAAAAGCCGCAAGGUUAAGUGAUCCAUGGAGGAAGCACGGGCUAAGUUCGUG
rnacentral:rRNA from 1 species